rnacentral:rRNA from 1 species
UACGUAGGGGGCGAGCGUUGUCCGGAGUUACUGGGCGUAAAGGGCUCGUAGGCGGCCAACUAAGUCAGACGUGAAAUCCCCAGGCUCAACCUGGGAACUGCGUCUGAUACUGGAUGGCUUGAAUUCGGGAGAGGGAUGCAGAAUUCCAGGUGUAGCGGUGAAAUGCGUAGAUAUCUGGAGGAAUACCGGUGGCGAAGGCGGCAUCCUGGACCGACAUUGACGCUGAGGAGCGAAAGCUAGGGGAGCAAACGGG